rnacentral:lncRNA from 1 species
CAAAUGUGUUUCUAGAAAUUGUUUAUAGGUCACAUAACUCAUAAGAGUACUCAAAAACACAUUGAACAUGAAAAUCAACCUCACUUUUAGCCAAUUCACCAAACUCUUCAAAAUAUACUAAAACACCAACAACAAUUCAAAUUUUCAUCAUCAAUUCAUGAAUAUGUAUACCCAAGCAAUGAUUCAUCAACAACAACAUCAAUUAACAACAAUAACAUCAAUUGAACAUGAAUCAUAUCUCAAUUCAACAACAACUUAG